rnacentral:lncRNA from 1 species
UUUAAGUACACUGUGGGAGCAAAAGAUUUCCCCAACUCUAUUGCAAGACAGCUAUAUUCCAAGCAGACGAAGAGACCAAUCAGAGAGCAGCAGCAUCUAAACAGGAAGAACUCUGGAGGGUUUUACAUCAUAAAUGACGGGGGUUGAAACAUCUGAAAGAAGGUGCCGCUGCAGGGACACAAAGAAGAAUGGAGAAGAGAAACUGACUGGCUGAAGGGCGAGAAACCAAAAAAAACACACACGAUUGAACAAUUGAACCAUCUCCUCCAUUCUCAAACAGAAUGUGGAAGGAAAAGCUGCCGACACUGAGAAGAUAAAAUGGCACGCAAAAAAGCCAAAGGAGCAGGCAAGAAAAAAGAUGCCAAGGAGAAGCCUGAUGAUGCCAAGGAGAAGCCUGAUGAUGCCAAGCCUGCAGGGGAUGAAGGAGAAAAAAUUAUAAGUGAAAAAACACCCUUGGAAAAAAUAAUGAAUUUUUUUCAAACUCCACUGGGUCUAUUUCUGGCCAUAGUAAUCACCAUCUUCCUUGUUUUCUUGGCAGUACAAGCUGUCAUUAUGUGUCUGAAUGAGUGGGAAAAAACAGCUGACCUACGACAUGCAAUGCAGCUCGUUAAGACAUUUAUGAUGAGAAAAGAUUCAAGCUAUGAAGAUAAGGAUGGACAUUGUUCCAUCCAGUGGCAGAAAAUACAUGAGGGCAUGAGAGGCUGCAUAGAGGGAGAGAGAGCAUCUCAUGGGAUCCACAGCAUUACCUUCAGGAAGGUAAUCAGCUGGUUGAGCAACAAGGGUCUGCUUUCUGCACCCUAGGAUUCCAAACUGGAGCUCCCUACAUGCAAACCAAGAGUUUGUUUUUGCUGUGCGACCUUGCAGAGAAACAAAGAAUCGAUAGAAAAUGGGGGAGAGGGUGUUAUUUCUCAUUUUUCCAUAGAAGAAGCCACUCUUUUCUGGCAGGCAACUACAUACAAGCCAAUUAGCAUGCCCUCCCAUUGCAAAAGCAACCUCCCGGACUCAUUGCCGUCCCAACCCUGGAAUAAAGACAUGAGACAGUAAUAUGGGUUAAAUAUG